rnacentral:rRNA from 1 species
GAUUGAACGCUGGCGGCAGGCCUAACACAUGCAAGUCGAACGGUAACAGGAAGAAGCUUGCUUCUUUGCUGACGAGUGGCGGACGGGUGAGUAAUGUCUGGGAAACUGCCUGAUGGAGGGGGAUAACUACUGGAAACGGUAGCUAAUACCGCAUAACGUCGCAAGACCAAAGAGGGGGACCUUCGGGCCUCUUGCCAUCGGAUGUGCCCAGAUGGGAUUAGCUAGUAGGUGGGGUAACGGCUCACCUAGGCGACGAUCCCUAGCUGGUCUGAGAGGAUGACCAGCCACACUGGAACUGAGACACGGUCCAGACUCCUACGGGAGGCAGCAGUGGGGAAUAUUGCACAAUGGGCGCAAGCCUGAUGCAGCCAUGCCGCGUGUAUGAAGAAGGCCUUCGGGUUGUAAAGUACUUUCAGCGGGGAGGAAGGGAGUAAAGUUAAUACCUUUGCUCAU